AUAGUCAGUUUCAAAUUAAAGACUUGAGGGUCCACACAGUUGAAUAAUUUGACAGUUGAGCAACAUUUGUUAUUAAGAAUGGCUGCUAAAGAAGUAAAAGAAAAGAUCCAAUUAGCAGGAGAAAGAAAGAUCCUUUGUUUAAAGUGCAAAAAGAAAACAAAAAGCUUACAAAUGGCUAUCAUGAAGAAUACAGCAACCAAAACAAGAAGAGUUAAAGCUAUCUGCGGAAUUUGCAAGACAAAAAAAUCAAUGUUCGUAAAUCAAAGAUACAAAUGAGGACGAUGAAGUAGACAGAAGGUCAUAUUUAUUUUUCAAAUAUAUUUAGAUCUUAAUGUACCCUUUUAAUUAAAGACCGUUGUCUUUUUUA